ACGCUCGACACCUACGGGAGGUAGCAGUCGGGAAUAUUGCGCAAUGGAGGAAACUCUGACGCAGUGACGCCGCGUGCAGGAAGAAGGUUUUCGGAUUGUAAACUGCUUUAGACAGGGAAGAAAGAAAUGACAGUACCUGUAGAAUAAGCUCCGGCUAACUACGUGCCGGCAGCCGCGGUAAUCUGAGCGGGCUGGCAAGGC
rnacentral:rRNA from 1 species